AACGCAACUGGCGCGCUUGGGAUAUGCCUGAGCGCAAGUCUGUUUGAGCGGUGGAUCUACCACUUUUUUGAAGAGGUGUGUGUGUGUGCCGACCCGGUUACACACCGCGAGAGUGAGGUUGUGAGCAUGCCCUGGUCUCCAGUCCAGGGCCUGCUCUCCCUUGAAGUGCAGUUGGGACAGUGUGGCUUGCUCUGACCGCAGAGGCUGCAAACGUUUAGUUUUACACAACACAAAACGCAUUUGCAAACCCCCGCAAUCAGAACAACCCACCACAUCCACAUCCAACUCAAACUCACCCUCAAAUCAGACUAGAGUACCCGCUGAACUUAA
rnacentral:misc_RNA from 1 species